rnacentral:tRNA from 1 species
UGCUGGGCGUGGCCUGGUUGCCCGAAGCCUCGGCGCUGACGGCGCUGACCGAACUGCGCGCGCUGAUGCCGUCGUUCGAGUUCGCGUCCUGCGU